UGCUGAUUGCCACACCCAUGACACUGUAUGGACAAGCAUGCGCUGAACUUUUUUUCCUUUUCUUUUUUUUUUAUCUCCUUUUGUGGUCUGAAAAAGAAAUGAAGGCAUAUGGCACUGGAACAACACAAGGAUUCCGUUCUGUUAGGAUCCUUCCAGAUCUGCAAAGGGCCAGUGUAUGAACUCAUGAGAGUCUCUGGGAUUUAUCCUCACUACAUGAAUACUGGAAGAAUAUUGGUAAUAACCAAAAUAUAGUGUAUGUUGUAAAAUGUCAAUAAGUUUAUGCUCAAAUAAUUUAUUUAUUUAUUUUUUUUGUAUAUGUGAACCACUGUGUUUAAUUAUAUUUGGAAGAUGUGGAGGUUGUAUAGCCUGUCAUUUUUGCUGCUUAGUAAAAAAUUCUCAGCAAGCAAAUACAAGAUAAACAUUACACUUGUCAAAUGCUUACUUCCUGUGAUGGUCACACCCUGAGCAGGACCACGGUUGUUUAACUUUGAAUCAUCCUACUCUACAUCACUCUCUGCCUGUAUGUGUGGUGGUUAUAAAAUGAUGAUUAUCAGUUUCUCAAGAAGGAAGUAAAACCACAAAUAGGGAACUAGCUUGUGUUGCUCUUUUCUAAAUAUUUUUUUUUUUUUUAAGUGGGUGGAGGGCGUUUGACACAGUCACCAGUCAUAGCUAAUGCAAUAUAACCUUUUGACUAAACCAUUAACUGUCAUUCGACAUGAGUUUUUGAAGAAGAUUUGCAAUUUCUGGGCUUUUUGUGGCACCAAUCAGAACUGCAGUCUUUUCUGGGUGGCCUCAACCAAUGGUGUGAGUUUGACAAACAACAGUAGACAGGAGAAUGUUUUUCUAUUGGAUACACAGAAAUUUCACACUUCACAGUUUAAAAUUUAUGUAUUUCUGCAGAUAAUUUACCCCCCCCCCCCCCCAUCAUAUUUACAUUUAUGCAUUUAGCAGGUGCUUUUAUCCACUUACAUUCAGGAUUUUUACCGGUAUUUUCCAGAUUUUGUUAAACUACCCUAAUAAGCUAUACCCAGAUAUCACUUUGUCAUAAGUGAGAUUUAAACUAUUACUGACCUCACAGUCAUUAUCUGGAGAGCUGUAAAAAAAAAAUUAAAAAAAUAAAUAAAUAAAAAGGAAAGAAAGAAAGAAAAAAAGAAUAUAUAUAUAUUGUUUUAUUCCAGUGUGCUAGGACACAUAUAUUAGGUGCAUAUUUCACCCAUGUCAAGAAUAAAAGCCUAUAUAGUUUACCAAAAAUAUACAACAUAAAAAAAAAUACAACAAUGCACAUUUCAACAUUUCAAAUGUAAGCAUUUUACAAAAAAACAAAACAAAUAAAAGUAUUGAAACAGCCACAUACUGUGUGUUGAGAAAACCAAACACUUUUGAUGGGACUGGCAUGCUAUUUUCACAGCACAUUAUGUUUUAGGGAGAUUGAACUUUGAAAUAACAGAGUACUUCUGAAUUGUUGUGGGAAAAUAGCACCAUCUACUGAGAGGUGUGGGCACGGUGGAGUAAGCCACUCAGUCAUAAUGUUGAUUAAAUUAAAACACACAAAGUGCAAGUACUUUAAAUAAUACACUAAUUUGGCUAGUUUUCUCAACAACACUGUAUUCAGUAUUCAUGAUUUGUGACUUGCAUGCUUCACUAUUUCCUGUUUAACAACAAUGCAGUGAUGCCAGUUUAUCUAUAUACAAACAAUCAGAUUUUAAGUAUAUUUAAGGUAAAUUAAUGAACUCAUCACAAGUAAUUAAUCUAAGUUUAGAUUAAGUGGUAUAAAAUAAAAAAAAUACUUGAUGUUUGUUGUUUGUUAUUUAAAAAUCUUUUGCUUUUGUAGGGGAGUAAAGCAUGCUCACUCAAAUGAACUGCAAUUCUUAAAAGUCCCAGUGAGUCAACACCCCACUCACACUAUUAACCAGUGCUGUUAGUAGCUUGGUAAAAAAAAACCAUUUGCAACAUCAACGUGUAUGAUGCAUAAUGUGUUAAAAUGUGUUCUGAGUUUUGUAGUACAUUCCAACCUUUAAUUGGAAGAUCAUCCAAGAGUUUUAAAGAAGCAGUUGUGGUGCAUAGGCAUUGCACUGAGGGGGAGAAAAAUCACCACUGAAAUUACUGAAAAGCCUCGUGGUCAAAGAGCUUCCUAUUGUUUGGUAGUGGGGGAUCUUUCAGUUCUGCAGUCUUUGCAGAACUAUUCAUGUUAUCACGUACAACUUAAAACACCUGAACAAAGUACAGAUGAAGUGAUAUUGAAGAGGAAGUUAAAAUCAGUCAUUUUCUCCUAUUAAAUUUGGGUAAUACACAGAUGUUACUUAUUGAAAAAAAAAAAGUAGAAUCUGUUGGAUUACAAUUUGCAACUAGGCUGAUAAUGUUACUUCCUCUUCAGUCAAAAAUCUGGGUGUUACUUUAGACAGCAACUUGUCUUUUGAAAAUCAUAUUUCCCAUGUUACAAAAACAGCAUUAUUCCAUCUUAGAAACAUUUUAUCUGUUUCUGAUGCAGAAAAGCUAGUUCAUGCAUUUGUGACCUCUUGUAAUGCACUUCUAGGUUGUCCUGCUUCUUCAAUAAACAAACUGCAGGUAGUCCAAAAUGCAGCAGCUAGAGUCCUUACCAGGUCAAGAAAAUAUGAUCAUAUUACCCCAAUUUUACAGUCUCUGCACUGGCUACAUAUAAAGUUCUGUAUAAUUUAUCAAAAAUUAUUACUUACCUUCGAGGCCCUUAAUGGUUUAUCUCCUGCAUACCUACAGUAACUAGUCUUCUACCACGCUACAAUCCAUCACGCUCCCUAAGUUCUCAAAACAUUGUACUUUUGGUAAUUCCUAGGAUAGCAAAGUCCACUAAAGGAGGUAGAUCUUAUUCACACGUGACUGGCAAACUCUGGAAUAGCCUUCCUGAUAAUGUUUGGGGUUCAGACACACUCUCUCUGUUUAAAUCUAGAUUAAAGACAUAUCUCUUUGGCCAAGUAUUCAAAUAAUGCUAAUCAUAAUCUUGUAAUGCAGUUAUAUCUGAUCAAAUGCACAUUAUUAUUCUUUAGCUUGGGUUAAACAAAUUAAUUUUACUUGGUUGGAACAGCAGCUACGCUAAUUAUGUCUUUUUCUCUCUCUCUCUCUCUCUCUCUCUCGGUUUCUCCAAUGGUAUUGACAUCCAGUGAAAUACAAAAGGAUUUACACAAGCUCCAGUCUGGAUCCAGAACACCUGAGAAGAGAUGAUACCAACCCCUCAGAAGACCUCAGAUGAUGCUAACCCUGAAACAACAAACAGAACUAACAAAUUUUGCUACAAGUGUGAUUAUAUCAUAUAAUAAUUGUCGUUAAUAGUGUUCAUUGUCUGUUUAAUUAUGUCUUUAUGUUAAUUAUUCAUAUAUUUCUUCCAUAUGUACAGAAACUAACAGUCACCACUGAUAAGCUACUACUAAAUAUUGUAGAAACUUAAUUUUCUGUAAAGUAUAAGGUCUCUAUGAACGUGCAUCCGAAGUAAAUCACAUAAGUUACUUAUAGGCAGAAGAAUGCCUGCCUAAAGUGGACUAUUAAAAUAAAUUGUUACCAAAGGCUUA